GACGAACGCUGGCGGCGUGCUUAAUACAUGCAAGUCGAACGCAGUGGGGACGGGUGAGUAACACGUGGGUAACCUCCCAUCAGAGGGGAUAACACUUGGAAACCGGUGCUAAACCGAUACUGAUGGAUGGAACCUGGGUGAAUUAGCUAGUUGGUGAGGUAACGGCUCACCAAGGCCACGAUGAAUAGCGGGCCUGGGAGGGGGAUCGGCCACACUGGGACUGAGACACGGCCCAGACUCCUACGGGAGGCAGCAGUGGGGAAUAUUGGGCAAUGGACGAAAGUCUGACCGAGCAACGCCGCGUGAGUGAAGAAGGUUUUCGGAUCGUAAAGCUCUGUUGUUAGAGAGGCGGUAUCGAACCAGAAAGCAACGGCUAACUACGUGCCAGCAGCCGCGGUAAUAC
rnacentral:rRNA from 1 species